GUGGGGCCAUGGUCCGGGCACCGGGGCCCACAAAAGAUUAAUUCAGCCCUGACUACAGAGUGCUGUUUUUUAUUCUUUCUGUCAUACCUGUAAGUGAGGAUACUUACGAAGGCAAUGAAGUGCUCUGGGCAUUUUUCUGGGUCUUGCAAACUAAACAUUGAUAAAAAAUAAACCACAGGUAGCAUUUCAUUUGCGAGCUUGACUACUUGGGAUUUGGUUCUCAGUGUUUUGAGGAGCACAUAGGCCAGCAGUGCUGCUCGGAGAGGGGGUUGGGAGGGGUUCAUGGCUGAGGGAUGUGCAGAUUUGGCGCAUCCCUACUGCAGCCUCCACGGGUCCUAUGGCGUCCCAAAUAGAAUUCCUGAAGUAGGGUGGGAUGCAGUGGUGCCACACACUUCCUUUCCUCUCAAAGGUGAAUCUUCCUUUCGUUCAUGGUGCAGCAAACCUGGCAAACCCAAGGAGAUGUGAUUUGCACUUCUCUGUGCCAGUGGGGCAGAAGCUGGUAUACUCUGUCAUUUUAUGAAUGAGCAUUUAGGAAAAUGUGUAUAAGAAUUUGGGAACAAGCUAGUAGCUAGAUUUUGUUUUUUUGUUUUUGUUUUCAUUCUGACCAUCUUUGAAAAGGAAAAAUUACCGACCUACUUCCUUGAAUUUAGUCUCAUGCUUGAGAUGCCUGUAACUUUCUCUCCUCAAGUUUAAAAUGGAAAGCACAUGUUCUGUGAGCACAGCCAAGCUGUGAUAAGGAAUUCAUCUUUGUGUAUCAAAGUUCCAUUUUCUUCUACAGCUCUUAUGGCUGUAAAUGCAUGUUUCUCCUAGUCAUUUGCAAAACUGAAAUAGCAUGAUUUGCAAGACUGCUGUAUGGAUUUCUUCCAAGCAAGUCCUUGGAGUAUAUCAUCAAAGUAACAGCAUCAAAUAGCAUUUCAUUCAGCGGAAGUAUAAAAAUGCCAGUUCAGUGUAGCUGUAUUUUGCAGUUAAUUCUCAAAAUGCUUGGUUCGUUCCUUGGUUUAAGUUAACUUGUGGUGGAACUUGCUUGAUUUUUGUGACUGUACUUCCUGAUUUGAAGAGAGAUGUUCAUGUACUCGGAUUGCAGCCUCCAAAAGUGGAAAGUUGAAGUGUCUAAAGUAUCUGUUUUAGCAAGUCAUCCUGUUCUGACUUUGAUAAGUAUAAUGAGGCAACUUACAUUCAGAAUCUGGUCAUUGCGAUCCAGUUUUCUGGGGGAGGGGUGCGGGAAGUCAUACUCCAGAAACAGUGCCAAAUAAAUAAAAUAAGAAACGGAGGCUGUCUCCCCAAAAAGAUUCAACAGAAGUGUGCAAGCUUCCUGACCCCAAGAGGGGAACCACAGUCCCACUCUUGUAUUUUGCUCCGUUUGGACGGAACCCUGCAGGCUCAUUAAGCUCCACUGAAGUCAGUGGCAUGUAGCCAGUCUCAGUUUUGGGGCAUAAAAUGGCUGUUACUGACCUGAGACAAAUGCAAAGAACUGUACUUCAUCAUCCUGUUCCCAGUCCCCUAAUUAUCCAGUUCCCUUAUGCUCUGUUUUUCAGUAUAUAAAACAAUCAGAAUAUCACAUCUACUCCUGCCCUGUUCCCGUUUCGGAUUUGAGAAAUCGGGCUAUUUUGCAGCUCAUGUUGCUCAUCUUUAUAUCUAACUGGGGGAAAGUGGUUGAAAUGCGUUAAUAACAAUAUACAGCAACUUUCUAGAGUUCUGAAACCCUUUACCUAUUAAUACACAAACGUUAUACAGGUAUCAUUUUGGCCCUGAUCCUGCAGAGACUUAUGCACUUGCUUAAUCUUAACCUCUUGAGUUAAAUGAGACCUCUCCAUAUGUCUAAGAUUAAAUAUGCAUGUAAAACUUUUUGUAGGAUCAGAGUCUUACUCUGCUGCUGAAAUGCAGACACCCUGGGGUGAAACUGGCAGCUGUUACGCUGCAGCACUGUAUGCAACACUCGAAGACAGAAGGUGAAGAGUAUUGCAGCCAACUGAAUUUGCAGGACAUGAGAUCUCAAAUCCCACCUCUGAGUUCACCCUUUAUUAUCUUUAGUUGAUCUUUUAGAGACCCUAGGUCCGCGCCACUGAGCACCUUGAAGAGAAGGACCAAGACCUAGAACUUGAUUUGACUGAGUGGGGUUCUGCCUGUGCCGUUUUCAUUGCAAGAUCAGGGCUCUUGUUGACAAAAAAAGAAAAAAAAAUGAUGCAAUGCAAAAGUCAGAAUCAUCUGAAGAGUCAAGAGGGUGUAUUUUCUUCAGACUCAGGCAAAAGCUCUGGAGCUGCUACAGCUCUCACUGAAACAAGUCAAGUAAACCUCCCUCUUGCAGAGACUCUUAUCACCUGGAUGGCUGACUCUUCAAAUGCUGUGUAAAAAGGUAGCCAGCCUGAUUAAUGACAUGAAGCCCAUGUUUGGUGAGUUGGCGUAUGGGAACUACUACUUGCAGUGAUGGGAAGUCUGAAGUAACGGGGGAAUGCACUGGGUGCCUGGAAUCCUGUCAUGUUUUUCAUUCUUUUGACAGUCUUGAAAAUUGUCUUCACUGUUCCUGUGUGGCUUGCUCUUGGGGAAGGUCAUUCAGUGCCCUACAUCUGUCACAUCAAUAUAGUCUGAAUUUAUGCAGCAGAGUUGCUUCUCUUCCCCAGGAAGGCUGUGCUUUGUGUCCUUAUUCAGAACCUGUAGCAAAAUAAGCGGCACCAGUUAGCUGCUCAAACACGUAGUAUUUUAAGUGAAACCAAGCCACUGUUUAAACAAUGGUUACAUUGGUUAAUACUUAUUGUUUAAUGUAGUUUUUUUCUGGUCCUGCAAGGCUGCUUUCCUGCUUUUAUUGAUUAGAAAAAUGCAUGCUGCCAGCUAUGGGCUUGGUAGUCACGGAGGAGAGAGGGUGACCACAAUGCAAAGCCACAAGAGGAAAGCAUGGGCAAAAGAAAGACCCUUCGAAUCUGGUAGCUUAUGAGUGAUGCCUACCUCUCUCUCACUGCGUAUGGUUUAGGAACAGAUUUGUGUGCAUUUGCUGUAUUGUCUUUGUCCACUUUAGAUAAAGAUCUUUGGAGCCAGGAUUUAUGUUUUCCUUUGUCUGCACAGGGCCAGCUAUGUAGAUAGUGUCCAAUAAAUAAUAGGAAAUGACCAUUCAACCCCGACCAUUUUUGUUCUUAGCUUACUCGUGCCUUCCUGCUUUCUCCCAUAACCCUGACCCAGUCUUCUUGAAAACCCAUCUGACUGGGCCUUUAACCCCAUUCCAAGAAUUUUAGGAACUCUCGUUCCUCUCUGCCAUUCUCCAGUCUCUCUCGUAUGAAAGGACAACCCCCACAUGAUAUACUCUGAAUUUCCUUGAGGAUUAUCUAAACAGUGUCACAUGAUCCAUUUCUCUCUACCACUUACAAAUGGGAAAGCAUAAAUCAUAAAUCACUACAAAUAAACACAACUGGCAGAUGUUAUUUCUUUCUGUCUAGGGCAACACAAGUUCUUUAAUCUGCCGCCUCCUGUAAGAACGCCUGCUCGAGAGAGUGAAACUAUUAUAAUAUAUACACAAUGGUGUUCUGCUACUUUUUGUUGCGAAUUAUAAUAGGAACUAUAUGCCAGAGACAUUUAAUGUAACGUGACCACAUGAAUACCUUACUGAUUUUGCUUCUCUUAGCCAACUUGGCUAUAAAACCAGAACGCAUUCCUGCUUCUAAGGAAAUGAACAGCCAGCCAAGAAGAGGAAAAUUCUAACCGUGAAAUCCUGGCGCAGCUUAAUGCUAGGAACUUGUGACUUUCUUUCAAGCAUAAUGUUUUAUAGUUAAGGAGUUGUGAGACAUUAGUCUUACUCUGUUAUGAAAAUAUUCUUUGUAAAUUAGAGGAACGGUAACAGCUUGUCUUUAAAGAAAAUAACACCCAGAGUUAAUGCCUUUCUGGAGCAACAGAAUGCUCCAAAGAUUUGAAAUGGUCUCAGUUAAAUGCUAUCUGGGUUCAUUUAAAAUGAUCAUGUUUACUUGAAGGUAAAUUGGUACUCAGCCUUGCCAACAUCUUGCUGUAGUUAAAAGAUCAGGACUAUUAUUUGGUCAAAUAUAAUUGCAGGAAUUAAUUCUGAGAAUAUUACGCCCCAGAAUGUGUGAGAGAGCCCAAAGGAGGAAAUCUCCUAUUCUGGAGGGUAAAAGCCAGAUCUGGGGACAACACAGUGAGUUAACAAGACUGCAAGUAUGAAAGAAAGCAUAGGCAGUGGAUCCCAUUUCUCUGCUUUUCUAAGGAAGCUGGUGGUUAUAGAAUUUCAUGAUGGCAUCACUAGCUCUAGAGCAUCUUAAUAAACUGGCUUCAUCUGCAGAACUUCUGUCCUUGUCUACACUACGAAAUUAGGUCGAAUUUAUAGAAGUCGGUUUUGUAGAAAGCAUUUUUAUACAGUCGAUCGUGUGU